rnacentral:lncRNA from 1 species
UUUCCCAGGAUCCAGCGUCGGCUACUCUCUCCUUAUUUUAUCCGUUCCCUCAGCUCUCUAGAAAGCUGUGGUCAGGCCAAUGGCCAGGACGCCAUGAAGUUGGAUAGGGGGCUGGUGUUAUUCCUUGAAGGCUGGAACUAACCCAGGGGAGCAUCUCAGGGGUCAGCCUGGAUCAGAAAGCAUUUAAUCUACUGGGAUGUGGUUUUCUCUUCUUAAAACAUGGACCAACUCUCUGAACUUACACACUGCAACGUGAAAAAUGUUGAACUGCUGGUCCUUGAAGAAGGAAAAGGAGAAGGAAAUGGUGAGUGGAACUGCCUGUGAUAGAGUGGAAAGAAGAUGAGAAAGUGACUAGAGAUGAAAAAUGCAGGGGAGGAGGAGGACAAAAAGAGGAAGAAGAGGGAGAGGAAGAAGCAGCA